rnacentral:lncRNA from 1 species
CUUUAUUAACGUAUUUUGAGCUUUUAGACUUUUUAAGAUUUAUAGGUUCUCUGAUUCCUUCAAACCCUAUACUAACACACAUCCAUUCGUAAGUUGUCAAAAGAUCUCCAAAAAAAGGUAAAGAAGAAGCAGCUCAGGGGAAAUGACCUCCUAUUGACUUUUCACAACCGUUGUCCUGGAGUUCAAAUGUCCUGUAGAAGAAAGUCAUCACUGGUGUACUAAGUAACAGAUGUUGAUCAAGAACAGGUCAGUAAAGGAAAAUAUAGUACAAACCUCGAUUGUAUUACUGCUUAAUAAUAUUACAGUUUCAUUAUCUUUGUUUAUGGAAAGAUUUUAAUAGUUAUAAAGGAGGAGAAAAUAGGAUCUGUUUGGUUAUAAAAACUCCACCAGUAAAAUAGUAAAAUAGUAGAACUAAAAUAGUUCCAUUUCUGCUCUGUUUGUAGCUGCGCUGUUUGGUUUGUAAGCGCUGCAUCGUUGCUAGGUUACCUGUAUGUGGCGGAGUAAUACAUGGAGAGCUUCACACAGGGCAUUACCGGCUGAUAACGAAGUGCGUCCGACCACCUGACAACAGUACUUAUUCAAGACUUUACAAGGUCUCCACAAGAAACACGGCAGUGAUUGUCCACCACCUACACUGCACUGCACAUGCAAGAUGGCAGAGUGCAGAAAGAAACAUUUAUGUGAAACCGACCGUCUAAAUACCACUGCAUCAAAAAACUCCAAUAUUUUAAGCAGCAGGGUUGGACCAGGUUAGCCAUGAUGCCAAGAGCUGGGCUCAGCAGAGGAGGAGCUGAGAUGCU